GUAGGUGGCAAGCGUUGUCCGGAAUUAUUGGGCGUUAAAGCGCGCGCAGGCGGUUCUUUAAGUCUGAUGUGAAAGCCCACGGGCUCAACCGUGGAGGGUCAUUGGAAACUGGAGAACUUGAGUACAGAAGAGGAAAGCGGAAUUCCACGUGUAGCGGUGAAAUGCGUAGAGAUGUGGAGGAACACCGGUGGCGAAGGCGGCUUUCUGGUCUGUAACUGACGCUGAGGCGCGAAAGCGUGGGGAGCAAACAGGAUUAGAUACCCUGGUAGUCCACGCCGUAAACGAUGAGUGCUAAGUGUUAGGGGGUUUCCGCCCCUUAGUGCUGCAGCUAACGCAUUAAGCACUCCGCCUGGGGAGUACGGCCGCAAAGGCUG
rnacentral:rRNA from 1 species